UUGACCUCGGAUCAGGUAGGAAUACCCGCUGAACUUAAGCAUAUCAAUAAGCGGAGGAAAAGAAACCAACAGGGAUUGCCCCAGUAACGGCGAGUGAAGCGGCAACAGCUCAAAUUUGAAAUCUGGCUCUCGGGCCCGAAUUGUAAUUUGUAGAGGAUGCUUUUGGCAAGGUUCCUUCUGAGUUCCCUGGAACGGGACGCCGGAGAGGGUGAGAGCCCCGUACGGUCGGAUACCACGCCUCUGUAAAGCUCCUUCGACGAGUCGAGUAGUUUGGGAAUGCUGCUCAAAAUGGGAGGUAAAUUUCUUCUAAAGCUAAAUACCGGCCAGAGACCGAUAGCGCACAAGUAGAGUGAUCGAAAGAUGAAAAGCACUUUGAAAAGAGGGUUAAAUAGCACGUGAAAUUGUUGAAAGGGAAGCGCUUGUGACCAGACUUGCGCCUGGUAAAUCAUCUAGCGUUCUCGCUAGUGCACUUUGCCGGCUCAGGCCAGCAUCAGUUUGCCGUCGGGGACAAAAGCUUUAGGAACGUAGCUCUCUUCGGGGAGUGUUAUAGCCUGUUGCAUAAUACCCUUCGGUGGACUGAGGUUCGCGCUCCGCAAGGAUGCUGGCAUAAUGGUCAUCAGCGACCCGUCUUGAAACACGGACCAAGGAGUCAACCUUAUGUGCGAGUGUUUGGGUGUUAAACCCCUACGCGUAAUGAAAGUGAACGCAGGUGAGAGCUUCGGCGCAUCAUCGACCGAUCCUGAUGUUCUCGGAUGGAUUUGAGUAAGAGCAUAUAGGGUUGGACCCGAAAGAAGGUGAACUAUGCGUGUAUAGGGUGAAGCCAGAGGAAACUCUGGUGGAGGCUCGCAGCGGUUCUGACGUGCAAAUCGAUCGUCAAAUAUGCGCAUGGGGGCGAAAGACUAAUCGAACCUUCUAGUAGCUGGUUUCCGCCGAAGUUUCCCUCAGGAUAGCAGUGUUGAGCUCAGUUUUAUGAGGUAAAGCGAAUGAUUAGGGACUCGGGGGCGCUAUAUUGCCUUCAUCCAUUCUCAAACUUUAAAUAUGUAAGAAGCCCUUGUUGCUUAAUUGAACGUGGGCAUUCGAAUGUAUCAACACUAGUGGGCCAUUUUUGGUAAGCAGAACUGGCGAUGCGGGAUGAACCGAACGCGAGGUUAAGGUGCCAGAGUAGACGCUCAUCAGACACCA
rnacentral:rRNA from 1 species